rfam:Brachypodium distachyon strain Bd21 chromosome 1, whole genome shotgun sequence.
AGAGUAUUCUUCCGUCCAACAAAAUGUGUCAAUUUUGACUAAAUUUGAAUGUAUCUAUACAUUAAGUCAUGUUUAAAUACAUUCAAAUUUUGACAAACUUGAGACAUUUUUUGUUGGAUGGAGGGAGUAUGUU